UACGUAGGGUGCAAGCGUUGUCCGGAAUUAUUGGGCGUAAAGAGCUCGUAGGCGGUUUGUCGCGUCUGGUGUGAAAAUCCAGGGCUUAACCCUGGACCUGCAUCGGGUACGGGCAGACUAGAGUGCGGUAGGGGAGAUCGGAAUUCCUGGUGUAGCGGUGAAAUGCGCAGAUAUCAGGAGGAACACCGGUGGCGAAGGCGGGUCUCUGGGCUGUAACUGACGCUGAGGAGCGAAAGCGUGGGUAGCGAACAGG
rnacentral:rRNA from 1 species